CCUAAUAAUCAGGUUAAA
rnacentral:siRNA from 1 species